rnacentral:rRNA from 1 species
UGGGGAAUCUUGCGCAAUGGGCGAAAGCCUGACGCAGCAACGCCGCGUGGGGGAUGAAGGCCUUCGGGUUGUAAACCUCUUUCACCAUCGACGAAGCCCUUUGGGGUGACGGUAGGUGGGGAAGAAGCACCGGCUAACUACGUGCCAGCAGCCGCGGUAAUACGUAGGGUGCGAGCGUUGUCCGGAUUUAUUGGGCGUAAAGAGCUCGUAGGCGGUUUGUCGCGUCGGCCGUGAAAACCUACAGCUUAACUGUGGGCUUGCGGUCGAUACGGGCAGACUUGAGUUCGGCAGGGGAGACUGGAAUUCCUGGUGUAGCGGUGAAAUGCGCAGAUAUCAGGAGGAACACCGGUGGCGAAGGCGGGUCUCUGGGCCGAUACUGACGCUG